rnacentral:lncRNA from 11 species
AAAAGCGAGACAAUGAGCAUCGCCCUGUGUGGUGUGAGAACACACGCGAAAUUUUUCCGCGCGCGACUUCACGGCCGUCGGAUACUUUUCCCCGGUACUGUCAAAUUAACGAACGAAUUUGACGGUAGAUUGGAAACUUAUCGUGGAUUGCCGAGUUCUUUUCUCCUUUGAAAACUUUUAAGAAUUUUGAGCGCUGUUCCUGUUCCCAGUCGCAGGAAGGAUGUCGCAGAAUUACGGAAAAUUUAGAAGUGAAAAAUACCGACGACCACGUGGUGCUUUGAUCCUGAUCGAUUCGCGUUUCUAACCUCAUGGAAUUUGACAGUGUACGUUUACGGAGAACAGAGUGAAAAAUUUUGUACUAGCCAUCGGAGAUUCGCAACUAGUGGUCGUCCAACGUCUAGGUCGGCUGGACCGUGUUACCUGAAGAAGCAAUCUCUGUCGCAUGGAAUAACAUUUAGGCCGGACUGCUCCACUGCACCGACUGUAUAUAUGUGUAUAUAUGUAUACAUACCUGCGCAACUGUGUUACGCCCGAGGAGUCCCCUGCGCCUCGAUAUGAUCUUCUGUUUUCGUGUAAUCGGGAAGGCUGAGUCGGAGACAUGAUCGUGGAAAAGGGAGCGGAGGGAAAGGAUACACGGAGAGAGUGUGAAAAAUAAUUUCCUGCCGUUGAUAUGUGGCGGAUCGGACGGAGGAGAAAAGUCCUGGGCCGGGGGAUAUCAAAAUAUUAUUCGAGGGUUAGCCGGGGUAGCUCCGCAUUCUCGUGCCAUACAGAAACCUUGCCGAGCCUAAAGUGGAUGGUUAUUGCCCUCAACCUGACCGCAUACCCGUACCUCCUGGCUGUACACGAAUUUCGUAUUUACCGCUUAAUCCUUCAUCCUUCUUAUCCAAUUUAAUUCUAAAUAUUUCAAAUUUCCCCUAAUACACGUAUAUAUAUAUAUAUAUAUAUAUAUAUAUAUAUAAUCAAAUAUAAUAGAAAGUAAUUCAAUUAUUUCAUUUCUUUUUAAAGCGACAAAUGAAAGUAAUAAGCCCGACGAUGGAGGGAAUUUCGUCAUAAGAUAAGAUUGUAAAGAACGAUGCGUUCCACAAGUCAUCGUUUACCGACGUUAAGUUAAUCGAUAACAAGAGGAGGAUCUGGACCGACAGUCCCAUAAAUUGGCUGCGGAGAACGAGCUUUCCAACGAUCCACCCAGAAAAUGACGUAUAUUCGUGGUGUUCUUAACGGGCGCCACUUUAAUGGAGACACGUGUCGCGGGUAUUUCAGAUCGUUGGUACACCGUGUCGCGAUGAUGAAGAGAACGACGACGUUCGAGGAAGAUUGAUGAGGUGUGUUUACCGCUAACUAAUUCCCCUCCGCUGCCGGCUCACGUCUAGCUAACUAACUUUCCCUCGAAUGAACAGCUUGGGCGGACAAAUUGUUCGAAUUCCAUCGUUCGAUGAUCGAGCGUGAUCUUAAGUAUAUUAUCUCGAGAAAUGCGAAUUUAAUAAAUUUAACGAAUUUAAUAAAGUACCGAUCAAAGAUUAUCGAAUAUUAAUAAUUAAGUCGCAUAUUAAAGAAUGUAAUAAAUUUAAC